rnacentral:rRNA from 1 species
CAGCCGCCGCGGUAAUACCGGCGGCCCGAGUGGCGGUCACUCUUAUUGGGCUUAAAGCGUCCGUAGCCGGGUUGGGAAGUCCUCCGGGAAAUCUGGCCGCUUAACGGUCAGAAUGCCGGAGGAUACUCCCAGCCUAGGGAGCGGGAGAGGCCGAGGGUAUUCCCGGAGUAGGGGGGAAAUCCUAUAAUCCCGGGAGGACCACCUGUGGCGAAGGCGCUCGGCUGGGACGCGUCCGACGGUGAGGGACGAAGGCCAGGGGAGCAAACCGGAUUAGAUACCCGGGUAGUCCUGGCUGUAAACGAUGCGGACUUUGUGUCGGACAAGCUAUGAGCUUGUCCGGUGCCGGAGGGAAACCGUUAAGUCCGCCGCCUGGGGAGUACGGCCGCAAGGCUGAAACUUAAAGGAAUUGGCGGG